GGAAUGACCCCUGAUGAGGUCAGAAAAAUAUCACGUGGUUUCAGUGAAGCAGCUGCAUUUCCAGGAAGCCAGCCAGGGCACACAGGAGGGAGGAGCAAGGCAGUAGCACCCCUAAGCCAUUUCCUGGUCUGGCCCAGCCUGAGUCUCAGAGCCAGAGAGGAGUGAGCUGGGCUCCCUUCAAAGCAAUCCCGUGCCAGGAUCUCCUGCCAGAGGAUCGUCGGCCUCAGGGGUGAGCUCUGAGACCUUCCUUGAGAAGAUGGUGGCAGGAGAGGUGCCCUCAAUUGCCAUCAGCCUGAAGGUGGCUUAUACGUCUCUAAAAAUAGUGGCUACGGGCUCUGCAGUGUGGCCUGCUGCGAUAAUAGCAGUUGUCGGGAUCGCUGGGGUCGCCGGGGUCGCCGGGGUCAUCUUAUAUCAAAAAAAGAUGAAAAUGCACAAUAAAACAGAAUAGAAAAUCCAUUGACAAGAAUCAUCUCCAAGCCCCGGACAGACAGGAGAGCCCAUGCUCCUGGGGACAGAUGUGCUGUGAGGGCAUGUGUGACAAUUUGGGUAUGACCAAAGUAAAAAACGUCCUGGAAUACACAUGUAUUGAGUGCUUACUCUGAGCCUGAGUCUUUUCCAGAACUGGGCUCUGAGUCUCGGGUUUCCAGAUCCUUCGAGGCCCAGCUGCGACCCUACCAGCCCCCACCUGGCCCGUCCAUGAGACUUGGACCAGCACCUGCAGGAGUCCAGGGGUACUUGCGGCAGCAGCUUUAGAGCAAGAAGAGGGAGGCCAAGGAGAGGGCUGUCAGGGGAGUGGCCAUCACGAGAGGACGUUGUCUGCAAACAGGAGGACGAGCAGCCAGAAAAUAGGGGCGGCCGGAGGGAGGGGUCCGCGCGGCGGGGGAGGGUCGCGGGGAGCGAGGGCCGGGGGCGCCCUGCGGGAGGGGCGUCAGCUCCGAGGAUGCUGGGUCCCUCCGGCCGCCACCGGCCAAAGGUCCAGGAACACAGCCCAGGCCCCGCAGCUCCCCGCUCCGGAGCCACCCCGGUCCCCAGCGCCCAGGGUGGUGGGAGAAGGACAAGUGGCCGUGGCCGUGUGCGCUCUUCCUCUGCGGGGAGCCGAGGUCAAGCCCGGGGGAGGUCAGGCGGUCUCCGUUGAACCCACCUUGUCCCGGGAGAGCCCCGAUCAAAACGCAAAGCCGGGCCGCCGGACAGCGGACCCUCGGCCCCCACCGCGCCAAAGCCGAAUCCCGGCAAGGUCCCGCCCCCUCGCGGGCCGAUUGGUCGGGCCUCCGCUUCGGCUCCACGCCGGGAAGACCCGGAGAAGCGGAGUUGGUCCAAGGAAUGCCCCCCCAAGCCCUGUUGCGCAUGCUCGCGCCGUGACCCCAGCUUGAGGUGACGGCCCGAACAGAGGCGGGGGCCCCCGGCACAGAGGCUGAGGGACCUGCCGCCGCUCGGUCUCCGGAGACGGAGGGCCCCGCUGCCGUCGCCGCCCGGCCGGUUCCCGGACCGCCCCCACCCUGCACCCAUCCCAGCCUCGUCCCAUCCCUGUGGCUCUUGAGAUCCUGGCACGGAUGGCAGUCGGAGGUCUGAGAUACUGGGGCAGGGAGACUUGGGCGGGAGGUAGAUGGUGGGAGAGCAGAGAAGCCGGGAGAAGGGGCCAUUGGGGCGCAGCAUAGACACGUCUAAUGACAAGUUACAGUGGGUAAGUAGAAGUAACUGAUUCCAAGCCAGGUGAUUCGGGGAAAGGAGAUGCCAUUACAUGAAACUCCCUCUCUGGAGACGCUCUUCUCUGCACACGAUAGGGCAGCAGUUCAUCUGGGUCUUAGCACUGCUUUGAAAAAUCUCCCUGUAGGGAUGUGUACCCGCAGACCUAUCCGGGCCCAGAAGCCCCCCCAAGGACCACAUGGGACAGUGAUUAUGGAAGAGGCAGCUGUCGGUAUCCCUGGUAACUUUUGAAAAUGAGGACUUCACCCUUGCCUGCUUGCUAUUGAGAACACCUGCUCCAUUCGCUGCCACAACUGUUAUCCAGGCGAACCAGUGCAGAGAGGGUUUAGGGUAGCUGGUAGUCAAGGAUGCAGGUGUGGGUGACCAUUGAUGGUAUUUUUCUCCCAUGUGUAGGACGGUAAGUCCACUGCCAGGCAGUGAUCAAGGGAUUGGACCUCAUGUCAGCUACCUAUGGCUGUCUUAAAUUACCACAAAUUCAGUGGAUUAAGACAACACGGCUUGGUAGUAAUCUAACAGUUCUGAAGGUCAGAGGUCUGACCUGGGCCUCCCUGGGUUGAAAUGCAGAUGUGGGCAGCGCUGUAUUUCUGGGGACUCCAGGGCCCCCUGGCUCGCAGCUCCUCCCUCUUUUUCAGGGCCAGCCAUAUGGGGUCUCUCCUCUCUCCGACUCUGCUCCCAUCAUCACACCGCUUUUUCUGACCCUCCUGCCUGCCUCUUCUUCUUUUUAGAACCAUUGUGAUUCGACCCACCUGGAUAAUCCAAACUACCCUCCUAGUUUAGUAGCCUUCAUGCCAUCUGCCGCCUGAACGCCCCCUUUACCAUGUAAGGGCCACACCCAUGGCAUCUGGAGGUUCCCAGGCU